rnacentral:rRNA from 1 species
CUACGGGAUGCUCCAGUAAGGAAUAUUGGGCAAUGGACGCAAGUCUGACCCAGCCAUGCCGCGUGAAGGAUGAAGGCCCUCUGGGUUGUAAACUUCUUUUAUCUGGGGCGAAAGGCGGUUAUUCUUAGCCGUUUGACAGUACCAGAGGAAUAAGCACCGGCUAACUCCGUGCCAGCAGCCGCGGUAAUACGGAGGGUGCAAGCGUUAUCCGGAUUCACUGGGUUUAAAGGGUGCGUAGGUGGAUCUGUAAGUCAGAGGUGAAAUCCCCGAGCUUAACUUGGGAACUGCCUUUGAUACUAUAGAUCUUGAAUAUCGUGGAGGUAAGCGGAAUAUGUCAUGUAGCGGUGAAAUGCAUAGAGAUGACAUAGAGCACCAAUUGCGAAGGCAGCUUGCUACACGAUGAUUGACACUGAGGCACGAAAGCGUGGGGAGCAAACAGGAUUAGAUACCCUAGUAGUC